CAGGGAGUGCUCCGAAAUCAAGAUAUCUAAAAAAAAUUAUAUGAAACGAACCAGAAUUUCGAUACGAUUAUUAUGACAUCGAAAAAAAUCUGAUCGGAGACAGUUUUUUGUGCAGCUAAUAUUCCGGCCGAUAAGUGGAAUCGUCGUAAUUCGUUUAUAAAAAGUCAAUUGAACUCAAAAUACACUUUAAUUUAGUUAUUAGAACAACCAUUUGAUUGUUUAAUGUUGAAACAAAAGUACUAGCGAUCAAAUCGAACAAUAGGACGUAAGCGUAAUUUCUUCAUUUUUCUCGAGGUUGGUCGAAAAAAAAAAUUUCUUUUUUUUUCUUAAUUUUCAAUGGUGGAAUGAAGAUAAUUUCAUAUGGUUUUGAGUGUAGUUUUAUUUGGAAGUGUAAUUGAAAUAUUCACAAGAUUAGGGGUUUAACUUGAUUUUCAGUACAAUUAUGAGUAACCGAAUCGAUUGCAGGGAGUGCUCCGAAAUCAAGAUAUCUAAAAAAAAUUAUAUGAAACGAACCAGAAUUUCGAUACGAUUAUUAUGACAUCGAAAAAAAUCUGAUCGGAGACAGUUUUUUGUGCAGCUAAUAUUCCGGCCGAUAAGUGGAAUCGUCGUAAUUCGUUUAUAAAAAGUCAAUUGAACUCAAAAUACACUUUAAUUUAGUUAUUAGAACAACCAUUUGAUUGUUUAAUGUUGAAACAAAAGUACUAGCGAUCAAAUCGAACAAUAGGACGCAAGCGUAAUUUCUUCAUUUUUCUCGAGGUUGGUCGAAAAAAAAAAUUUCUUUUUUUUUUUCUUAAUUUUCAAUGGUGGAAUGAAGAUAAUUUCAUAUGGUUUUGAGUGUAGUUUUAUUUGGAAGUGUAAUUGAAAUAUUCACAAGAUGAGGGGUUUAACUUGAUUUUCAGUACAUUUAUGAGUAUCCGAAUCGAUUGUAGGGAGUGCUCCGAAGUCAAGAUAUCUAAAAAAAAUUAUAUGAAACGAACCAGAAUUUUGAUACGAUUAUUAUGACAUCGAAAAAAAUCUGAUCGGAGACAGGUUUUUGUGCAGCUAAUAUUCCGGCCGAUAAGUGGAAUCGUCGUAAUUCGUUUAUAAAAAGUCAAUUGAACUCAAAAUACACUUUAAUUUAGUUAUUAGAACAACCAUUUGAUUGUUUAAUGUUGAAACAAAAGUACUAGCGAUCAAAUCGAACAAUAGGACGCAAGCGUAAUUUCUUCAUUUUUCUCGAGGUUGGUCGAAAAAAAAAAUUUCUUUUUUUUUUUCUUAAUUUUCAAUGGUGGAAUGAAGAUAAUUUCAUAUGGUUUUGAGUGUAGUUUUAUUUGGAAGUGUAAUUGAAAUAUUCACAAGAUUAGGGGUUUAACUUUUUUUUCGGUACACUUUGGUGUAACCGAAUCGAUUGUAGGGAGUGCUGCGAAAUCAAGAUAUCUAAAAAAAAUUAUAUGAAACAAACCAGAAUUUUGAUACGAUUGUUAUGACAUCGAAAAAAAUCUAAUCGGAGACAGUUUUUUGUGCAGCUAAUAUUCCGGCCGAUAAGUGGAAUCGUCGUAAUUCGUUUAUAAAACGUCAAUUGAACUCAAAAUACACUUUAAUUUAGUUAUUAGAACAACCAUUUGAUUGUUUAAUGUUGAAACAAAAGUACUAGCGAUCAAAUCGAACAAUAGGACGUAAGCGUAAUUUCUUCAUUUUUCGCGUGCAGGGUCGAAAUUUUUUUUUUUUUCGUUUUUUCUCAAUUUUCAAUGAUGGAAUGAAGAUAAUUUCAUAUGGUUUUGAGUGUAGUUUUAUUUGGAAGUGUAAUUGAAAUAUUCACAAGAUUAGGGGUUUAACUUGAUUUUCAGUACAAUUAUGAGUACCCGAAUCGAUUGCAGGGAGUUCUCAGAAAUCAAGAUAUCUAAAAAAAAUCAUAUGAAACGAACCAGAAUUUCGAUACGAUUGUUAUGACAUCGUAAAAAAUCUAAUCGGAGACAAUAUUUUGUGCAGCUAAAAUUCCGGUCCAAAAGUCGAAUCGUCGUAAUUCGUUUAUAAAAAGUCAAUUGAACUCAAAAUACACUUUAAUUUAGUUAUUAGAACAACAAUUAGAUUGUUUAUUGUUUAAACAAAAGUACUAGCGAUCAAAUCGAACAAUAGGACGUAAGCGUAAUUUCUUCAUUUUUCCCGUGGUUGGUCGAAAUUUUUUUAUUUUUAUUUUCUUAAUUUUCAAUGGUGGAAUGAAGAUAAUUUCAUAUGGUUUUGAGUGUAGUUUUAUUUGGAAGUGUAAUUGAAAUAUUCACAAGAUUAGGGGUUUAACUUUAUUUUCGGUACACUUAGGUGUAACCGAAUCGAUUGCAGGGAGUGCUCUGAAAUCAAGAUAUCUAAAAAAAAUGAUAUGAAACAAACCAGAAUUUCGAUACGAUUGUUAUGACAUCGAAAAAAAUCUAAUCGGAGAUAAUUUUUUGUGCAGCUAAAAUUCGGUCCAAAAGUCGAAUCGUCGUAAUUCGUUUAUAAAAUGACAAUUGAAAUCAAAAUACCCUUUAAUUUAGUUAUUAGAACAACCAUUUGGUUGUUUAAUGUUGAAUCAAAAGUACUAGCAAUCAAAUCGAACAAUAGGACGUAAGCGUAAUUUCUUCAUUUUUCCCGUGGUUGGUCGAAAAAAAAAUUUCUUUUUUUUUUUCUCAAUUUUCAAUGAUGGAAUGAAGAUAAUUUCAUAUGGUUUUGAGUGUAGUUUUAUUUGGAAGUGUAAUUGAAAUAUUCACAAGAUGAGGGGUUUAACUUGAUUUUCAGUACAUUUAUGAGUAUCCGAAUCGAUUGCAGGGAGUGCUCCGAAGUCAAGAUAUCUAAAAAAAAUUAUAUGAAACGAACCAGAAUUUCGAUACGAUUAUUAUGACAUCGAAAAAAAUCUGAUCGGAGACAGUUUUUUGUGCAGCUAAUAUUCCGGCCGAUAAGUGGAAUCGUCGUAAUUCGUUUAUAAAAAGUCAAUUGAACUCAAAAUACACUUUAAUUUAGUUAUUAGAACAACCAUUUGAUUGUUUAAUGUUGAAACAAAAGUACUAGCGAUCAAAUCGAACAAUAGGACGCAAGCGUAAUUUCUUCAUUUUUCUCGAGGUUGGUCGAAAAAAAAAAUUUCUUUUUUUUUUUCUUAAUUUUCAAUGGUGGAAUGAAGAUAAUUUCAUAUGGUUUUGAGUGUAGUUUUAUUUGGAAGUGUAAUUGAAAUAUUCACAAGAUUAGGGGUUUAACUUUUUUUUCGGUACAUUUUGGUGUAACCGAAUCGAUUGUAGGGAGUGCUGCGAAAUCAACAUAUCUAAAAAAAAUUAUAUGAAACGAACCAGAAUUUCGAUACGCUUAUUAUGACAUCGAAAAAAAUCUGAUCGGAGACAGUUUUUUGUGCAGCUAAUAUUCCGGCCGAUAAGUGGAAUCGUCGUAAUUCGUUUAUAAAAAGUCAAUUGAACUCAAAAUACACUUUAAUUUAGUUAUUAGAACAACCAUUUGAUUGUUUAAUGUUGAAACAAAAGUACUAGCGAUCGAAUCGAACAAUAGGACGCAAGUGUAAUUUCUUCAUUUUUCUCGAGGUUGGUCGAAAAAAAAAAUUUCUUUUUUUAUUUUCUUAAUUUUCAAUGGUUGAAUGAAGAUAAUUUCAUAUGGUUUUGAGUGUAGUUUUAUUUGGAAGUGUAAUUGAAAUAUUCACAAGAUGAGGGGUUUAACUUGAUUUUCAGUACAUUUAUGAGUAUCCGAAUCGAUUGCAGGGAGUGCUCCGAAAUCAAGAUAUCUAAAAAAAAUUAUAUGAAACGAACCAGAAUUUCGAAACGAUUAUUAUGACAUCGAAAAAAUUCUGAUCGGAGACA